UGUAAGCGUAUAGCAAAGUUGUUGCAGUUAAAACGCUCGUAGUCGGAAUUUGGCAGUUCCGGAUGUGUGCACGUCGUGUGCGCACUUCGCGGGGAUUGCUUUUGUGGUCUUGCGUAGGAUGAGGCACUUUUAUUAGUGAACGUCCUCACGCAACCACUUUUUACUGUGAGAAAAUCAGAGUGCUCAAAGCAGGCAUUUGCCGUGAAUGUAUUAGCAUGGAAUAAUAGAAUAGGACUUGGUUCUAUUUUGUUGGUUUGUUGGGACUGAGUAAUGAUUAAGAGGGACAGUUGGGGGCAUUUGUAUUUCGGUGCUAGAGGUGAAAUUCUUAGAUUACCGAAAGACAAACUGCUGCGAAAGCGUCUGCCAAGGAUGUUUUCAUUGA
rnacentral:rRNA from 1 species